rnacentral:tRNA from 1 species
GGGUGUGGCUCAGUGGUAGAGUGUUUGCCUGGCAUGGGAGAGGUCCUGGGUUCAAUCACCAGUACUGCA